rnacentral:lncRNA from 1 species
GCCAGUCGGCUUUACACACUGCACAAUAACCAACCAACACAACCGCUGUGCAAUCCGAACGCAGGAAACUACGCUUCUGUGAAAACCGAUAAGGAGCCAGCCUAGCCAUCCCUAGGUAGCCAUCGUGCCGUCCAUCGCAACUUCGCCCGCAAGAGUUAGCUAAACCGCGCACGUUUGUCGUCCGGCCGACGGCCUUGGCACCCGUGCAGCCUCCACCCUCCAGCUACCUGUCAUGAACGCCCUGCAGAAGGUCAUCGAACGCCGCUUGGCGUACCAUAUCCAUAUCCUCCCUAUCUUACCAAUAGGAGGAGGCUCCACAGAGCAUGCGGAUCCAGGCAUUCUAUGCUAUUCUACGAGCACACGGCAAAAUCCGUACGGGCCAUAAACGUCAUGCUGUGUGGCUGUCUGCCAGGAUACCUCUCUGGGUUGCCUGACAGUUUUCUACGUGAAGCGUUGAAAACUAAGGUUUUCUGCGAAUACGGAGUGUCU